rnacentral:rRNA from 1 species
UACGUAGGGUCCGAGCGUUAAUCGGAAUUACUGGGCGUAAAGCGUGCGCAGGCGGUUUUGUAAGCCAAGAUGUGAAAUCCCUCGGCUUAACCGGGGAACUGCGUCUGAUACUGGAUGGCUUGAGUUUGGGAGAGGGAUGCGGAAUUCCAGGUGUAGCGGUGAAAUGCGUAGAUAUCAGGAAGAACACCCGUGGCGAAGGCGGCUCUCUGGGACGGUACUGACGCUGAGACGCGAAAGCGUGGGGAGCGAACAGG